rnacentral:rRNA from 1 species
AAGCCAUGCAUGUCUAAGUAUAAGCAAUUAUACCGUGAAACUGCGAAUGGCUCAUUAAAUCAGUUAUCGUUUAUUUGAUAGUACCUUACUACAUGGAUAACCGUGGUAAUUCUAGAGCUAAUACAUGCUAAAAACCCCGACUUCGGGAGGGGUGUAUUUAUUAGAUAAAAAACCAAUGCCCUUCGGGGCUCCUUGGUGAAUCAUAAUAACUUAACGGAUCGCAUGGCCUUGCGCCGGCGACGGUUCAUUCAAAUUUCUGCCCUAUCAACUUUCGAUUGUAGGGUAUUGGCCUACAAUGGUAUCAACGGGUAACGGGGAAUUAGGGUUCGAUUCCGGAGAGGGAGCCUGAGAAACGGCUACCACAUCCAAGGAAGGCAGCAGGCGCGCAAAUUACCCAAUCCCGACACGGGGAGGUAGUGACAAUAAAUACUGAUACAGGGCUCUUUUGGGUCUUGUAAUUGGAAUGAGUACAAUUUAAAUCCCUUAACGAGGAACAAUUGGAGGGCAAGUCUGGUGCCAGCAGCCGCGGUAAUUCCAGCUCCAAUAGCGUAUAUUAAAGUUGUUGCAGUUAAAAAGCUCGUAGUUGAACCUUGGGCCUGGCUGGCCGGUCCGCCUCACCGCGUGCACUGGUCCGGCCGGGCCUUUCCUUCUGGAGAGCCGCAUGCCCUUCACUGGGUGUGCCGGGGAACCAGGACUUUUACUUUGAAAAAAUUAGAGUGUUCAAAGCAGGCCUUUGCUCGAAUACAUUAGCAUGGAAUAAUAGAAUAGGACGUGCGGUUCUAUUUUGUUGGUUUCUAGGACCGCCGUAAUGAUUAAUAGGGAUAGUCGGGGGCAUCAGUAUUCAAUUGUCAGAGGUGAAAUUCUUGGAUUUAUUGAAGACUAACUACUGCGAAAGCAUUUGCCAAGGAUGUUUUCAUUAAUCAGUGAACGAAAGUUAGGGGAUCGAAGACGAUCAGAUACCGUCGUAGUCUUAACCGUAAACUAUGCCGACUAGGGAUCGGGCGAUGUUAUUAUUUUGACUCGCUCGGCACCUUACGAGAAAUCAAAGUUUUUGGGUUCUGGGGGGAGUAUGGUCGCAAGGCUGAA